GAUGAAGAACGUAGCGAAAUGCGAUAAGUAAUGUGAAUUGCAGAAUUCAGUGAAUCAUCGAAUCUUUGAACGCACAUUGCGCCCGCCAGUAUUCUGGCGGGCAUGCCUGUUCGAGCGUCAUUUCAACCAUCAAGCCCCCGGCUUGUGUUGGGGACCUGCGGCUGCCGCAGGCCCUGAAAACCAGUGGCGGGCUCGCUAGUCACUCCGAGCGUAGUAAUACAUCUCGCUCAGGGCGUGCUGCGGGUUCCGGCCGUUAAAAAGCCUUAUUUACCCAAGGUUGACCUCGGAUCAGGUAGGAAGACCCGCUGAACUUAAGCAUAUCAAAAGCGAGGA
rnacentral:misc_RNA from 1 species